GCUUUAGCAGCACAUAUGCUAAAAUGGGAAUGAUGCAGAGAAGAUUAGCAUGGCCUCUGGGCAAGGAUGACUUGCAAAUUCAUGAAGCAUUUCAUACUUUU
rnacentral:snRNA from 1 species